UACAUAGGUCUCAAGCGUUGUCCGGAUUCAUUGGGCGUAAAGGGUGCGUAGGCGGCGCGGUAAGUCGGGUGUGAAAUCUCGGAGCUUAACUCCGAAGCUGCAUUUGAUACUGCCGUGCUUGAGGACUGGAGAGGAGACUGGAAUUUACGGUGUAGCGGUGAAAUGCGUAGAUAUCGUAAGGAAGACCAGUGGCGAAGGCGGGUCUCUGGACAGUUCCUGACGCUGAGGCACGAAGGCCAGGGGAGCAAACAGG
rnacentral:rRNA from 1 species